AAUUAAGGAAUCGCAGGCUAAAUUCGCCACGUCCUGUGGCAACGCCUGCAUGACCUUCAUCGUGAAGG
rnacentral:sRNA from 1 species